CUAUUGUAAAACUUAUAGUGUCGGCGGGGUAGGAGGUCACUUUAGUUAUUGCAAUCUUUCUUAUCAGUUAAAUGGAUUAUAGAACCUCAGUCAGUCCAUCUCCACAAGAAUUGGGAUUUUUCGAGGAGGAUGACGAGUUUGAAGACUUUCCAGCGGAAGAUUGGAAUGAAAAUUUGCAAGAUAACUUUGAUGGCAAGCAAUGGGAAGACAACUGGGAUGAUGACUGUGUUGAAGAUGACUUUAAUAUUCAACUAAGAAAUGAACUUCGGUCAAACCAUUAAACGUUUUCCUCUCUUGUCGUUUAUGGGAAUUUAUAUAUAAUAAAGCUUCUG